CAAUACUUUGGUGGCGACCGGGGCACGGGUGCGUAACGCGUAUGUAACCUACCUAUAACAGGGGCAUAACACUGAGAAAUUGGUACUAAUUCCCCAUAAUAUUCGGAGAGGCAUCUCUCCGGGUUGAAAACUCCGGUGGUUAUAGAUGGACAUGCGUUGUAUUAGCUAGUUGGUGAGGUAACGGCUCACCAAGGCAACGAUACAUAGGGGGACUGAGAGGUUAACCCCCCACACUGGUACUGAGACGCGGACCAGACUCCUACGGGAGGCAGCAUG
rnacentral:rRNA from 1 species